GCAUAGCAUCCACCACUGGCUCCACAUAGAGACACAGCAUGAUCUGUCACAGAAUGGGCAAGAGAACCUACACAGUGUGCAGAAAGGGGAAUAAAUUUACAAUCAGGAGUAUCGCAGCUUUCCUAUCUCUACUCGGGAGUAACAUAGCAGGGGAAAAAAUUUGCCUCCUGCUAACCAAUCUUAAUCAGAUUGUGUGCAUGGCUCUGGAUCAAGACAGUGACGGAUAUGUAGAUGAGGUAGAGACUUUAAUUGGAGUUAUCUUCCUUUGUUCAUUGAACAAAUCUGAAAUACCUGCUAUGACUCCCAGGACAUAAAUGAGUAGAACUCUCCAGAAUUUGUGAACUAGCUCCAAAGGCAGACCCAGCAACAGUUGGAAGAUUAAAUUGGAAAUAAGAUGGAUAUAUCUAGAAGAUACAAUUGGAUAUAUAUGUAAUAAUGCAGUCCUGUGAUAUCAUAAAAAGAUGUUCACAGCAUAAGAGAAACAAUGAAUCUGGAACUUGAGAGUUACUUCCCCUUGAUGUAGGAUAUUGCACCUGUGCGAGAUCGUAAAUCUCACUGCUGCUUAAUGUCUAGCACGUUUACACAAAAGCUAGCUCAUAGACUGAACAUACUUACUCAUAGUAUUAUUAGAAAUUUGUGUGAGAAAUAUCACAUUAUACACUGUGUAAGCCCACUUAAACUAGAAGUGAUAUGUAUAACCAUAUUAUAUUUAUAUGUUAUGUAUGACCCACUGUUUUGGACUUGACCCAGAGUGUGGACUGUAGAGACUUACAUUUGAUGUAUGUAACAAAUCGAUCUCCAUACCUCAUAUUGUCUGGUUGGUUUAUAAUAUAACAGUGAGCUGUA